rnacentral:rRNA from 1 species
GUAGGUGAACCUGCGGAAGGAUCAUUAGUGAAUAUAGGACGUCCAACUUAACUUGGAGUCCGAACUCUCACUUUCUAACCCUGUGCACUUGUUUGGGAUAGUAACUCUCGCAAGAGAGCGAACUCCUAUUCACUUAUAAACACAAAGUCUAUGAAUGUAUUAAAUUUUAUAACAAAAUAAAACUUUCAACAACGGAUCUCUUGGCUCUCGCAUCGAUGAAGAACGCAGCGAAAUGCGAUAAGUAAUGUGAAUUGCAGAAUUCAGUGAAUCAUCGAAUCUUUGAACGCACCUUGCGCUCCAUGGUAUUCCGUGGAGCAUGCCUGUUUGAGUGUCAUGAAUACUUCAACCCUCCUCUUUCUUAAUGAUUGAAGAGGUGUUUGGUUUCUGAGCGCUGCUGGCCUUUACGGUCUAGCUCGUUCGUAAUGCAUUAGCAUCCGCAAUCGAACUUCGGAUUGACUUGGCGUAAUAGACUAUUCGCUGAGGAAUUCUAGUCUUCGGAUUAGAGCCGGGUUGGGUUAAAGGAAGCUUCUAAUCAGAAUGUCUACAUUUUAAGAUUAGAUCUCAAAUCAGGUAGGACUACCCGCUGA